GGGUUGUGAGGUUAAGCGACUAAGCGUACACGGUGGAUGCCCUGGCAGUCAGAGGCGAUGAAGGACGUGCUAAUCUGCGAUAAGCGUCGGUAAGGUGAUAUGAACCGUUAUAACCGGCGAUUUCCGAAUGGGGAAACCCAGUGUGUUUCGACACACUAUCAUUAACUGAAUCCAUAGGUUAAUGAGGCGAACCGGGGGAACUGAAACAUCUAAGUACCCUGAGGAAAAGAAAUCAACCGAGAUUCCCCCAGUAGCGGCGAGCGAACGGGGAGCAGCCCAGAGCCUGAAUCAGUAUGUGUGUUAGUGGAAGCGUCUGGAAAGGCGCGCGAUACAGGGUGACAGCCCCGUACACAAAAAUGCACAUGCUGUGAGCUCGAUGAGUAGGGCGGGACACGUGGUAUCCUGUCUGAAUAUGGGGGGACCAUCCUCCAAGGCUAAAUACUCCUGACUGACCGAUAGUGAACCAGUACCGUGAGGGAAAGGCGAAAAGAACCCCGGCGAGGGGAGUGAAAAAGAACCUGAAACCGUGUACGUACAAGCAGUGGGAGCACAGAGCAAUCUGUGUGACUGCGUACCUUUUGUAUAAUGGGUCAGCGACUUAUAUUCUGUAGCAAGGUUAACCGAAUAGGGGAGCCGAAGGGAAACCGAGUCUUAACUGGGCGUUAAGUUGCAGGGUAUAGACCCGAAACCCGGUGAUCUAGCCAUGGGCAGGUUGAAGGUUGGGUAACACUAACUGGAGGACCGAACCGACUAAUGUUGAAAAAUUAGCGGAUGACUUGUGGCUGGGGGUGAAAGGCCAAUCAAACCGGGAGAUAGCUGGUUCUCCCCGAAAGCUAUUUAGGUAGCGCCUCGUGAAUUCAUCUCCGGGGGUAGAGCACUGUUUCGGCAAGGGGGUCAUCCCGACUUACCAACCCGAUGCAAACUGCGAAUACCGGAGAAUGUUAUCACGGGAGACACACGGCGGGUGCUAACGUCCGUCGUGAAGAGGGAAACAACCCAGACCGCCAGCUAAGGUCCCAAAGUCAUGGUUAAGUGGGAAACGAUGUGGGAAGGCCCAGACAGCCAGGAUGUUGGCUUAGAAGCAGCCAUCAUUUAAAGAAAGCGUAAUAGCUCACUGGUCGAGUCGGCCUGCGCGGAAGAUGUAACGGGGCUAAACCAUGCACCGAAGCUGCGGCAGCGACGCUGAUGCGUUGUUGGGUAGGGGAGCGUUCUGUAAGCCUGCGAAGGUGUGCUGUGAGGCAUGCUGGAGGUAUCAGAAGUGCGAAUGCUGACAUAAGUAACGAUAAAGCGGGUGAAAAGCCCGCUCGCCGGAAGACCAAGGGUUCCUGUCCAACGUUAAUCGGGGCAGGGUGAGUCGACCCCUAAGGCGAGGCCGAAAGGCGUAGUCGAUGGGAAACAGGUUAAUAUUCCUGUACUUGGUGUUACUGCGAAGGGGGGACGGAGAAGGCUAUGUUGGCCGGGCGACGGUUGUCCCGGUUUAAGCGUGUAGGCUGGUUUUCCAGGCAAAUCCGGAAAAUCAAGGCUGAGGCGUGAUGACGAGGCACUGCGGUGCUGAAGCAACAAAUGCCCUGCUUCCAGGAAAAGCCUCUAAGCAUCAGGUAACAUCAAAUCGUACCCCAAACCGACACAGGUGGUCAGGUAGAGAAUACCAAGGCGCUUGAGAGAACUCGGGUGAAGGAACUAGGCAAAAUGGUGCCGUAACUUCGGGAGAAGGCACGCUGAUAUGUAGGUGAAGUCCCUCGCGGAUGGAGCUGAAAUCAGUCGAAGAUACCAGCUGGCUGCAACUGUUUAUUAAAAACACAGCACUGUGCAAACACGAAAGUGGACGUAUACGGUGUGACGCCUGCCCGGUGCCGGAAGGUUAAUUGAUGGGGUUAGCGCAAGCGAAGCUCUUGAUCGAAGCCCCGGUAAACGGCGGCCGUAACUAUAACGGUCCUAAGGUAGCGAAAUUCCUUGUCGGGUAAGUUCCGACCUGCACGAAUGGCGUAAUGAUGGCCAGGCUGUCUCCACCCGAGACUCAGUGAAAUUGAACUCGCUGUGAAGAUGCAGUGUACCCGCGGCAAGACGGAAAGACCCCGUGAACCUUUACUAUAGCUUGACACUGAACAUUGAGCCUUGAUGUGUAGGAUAGGUGGGAGGCUU
rnacentral:rRNA from 1 species